CCGGAUGUGACUCUUCAGACUGUACUGGCUGCUAAAAGUCUUCUCACAGCCGUCACUUGGACAGUUGAAUGGCUUCUCCCCUACAGAGAUGGAACAAUACAGAAAGAAUGUGAAAGGGACAGCGAAGCGCCACAAGUGACUAGUUUGGUUUUCUGUCCCUGUGGAAAUUCGGUCUGUGCCUGUGGCAAUCAUAACAAAUUACAUCAUAAUAUGACAACAAUGACAAAGACAAAAACACAGAAAUGGUGUGAUGCACAUAGCCCUGUGACAUGGCAUCAGGGUCAGCCAUAAAAGCCAGAGAGCCCUCCUCCUCGUCUCCAUCACCUUCGCCCUCUGUUAAGAAGGUUACUCCAU